AGACGCUCUAAACCGGUUCAGAAACAGAUUAAAACCUGGCCAGCAGGAGCCAUCUCUACUCUUCAGGACUGUUUCGAGUGCACUGACUGGGACAUGUUCAGGGAGGCUGUGACCAGGGGCGGACUUAACCAAUAAGCGAGCCCCUACAUGGUUCAUGAAUAGGAUGAAGAUGAGGCAUAUGAGUGAUGAUGGACAUCACAGAGGAAGAGAUAGAACCCUAAGGAUGAAGAAAGAAGAUAAGAAACAGGGUUAAACAGUUUUUUUUCUAUGGAAACCCUGCAGGGGAAACGACCUAACAGCCAAUAAUUCUUAAAACAACAGGAUUUUUAAAAAUCAAGAUGGAUUGUCCAGUUGGCUACAAGAGUCCAGCACACUCACAAAUUAGUUGCAGAUUUAGUCAAUUCUGAUUAACAGUAAGAUUGUUACAGCUACUUUCUUGUCAUGCAGGACAACCUAACAAAUAUAAUGAGUGGGGAUAAUUUAGAACAUUACACACACUGAAGAAAUCACAUCAUGACCCAAAGUGUUUUAUUCUUCUUAUACAACAAUUUGAUACAAUUACAUUUUUAUUAAUUAAACAAGAACACAGUAAACUAUUUAUCUCUUUACAGCUACAUUUAAUGUUGAUGUUCAUCCUCAAAACUGCUAGUUACUGUUCUCACUUACAUUAUAACAGCUUGGAGCAGUCAUCACCCUUUCUUUUCUCUCUCUUGAAAGGAAAAGAAACAAAAUUGUGUUAUAAAACCUGCUGAUUGUUUCUGUGAAUGCUGACGGUUUGAUGACAUGACACACACUUUUCUGUCCAGCAAAUUCUUUUUGUAUUGGUGACGUUUCAUUAGCAUCAUAAAAAUAUAAUGUGGUGCGAUCAUCUGAACAUCGUCAGAACUACAUUAUAAAGACUCCUUUGAUCUUUCUAUAUUGCUGUAUUUGACAUCAUUUUACAAAGUAUUUCACAUUAUUGAUUAAAACUGCAGAUCCUUUGGAUUAAUAGUACUUUCAUAAUAUACUAGAAAAGAAUUGUCCAGAUUUGUUCAUUUCGCAAAAUAUCACCUUGUGCUACUGUCUGUAACAGAACAUUUUGAGAAUUUUAUAUUGAAAAAAUAUUAAUCAGAAAAAUAUCAUCAUAGAGCAACAUCUCUGUGAAUAUUGGAAAUAUCUGGAAGGUUUGUCAGACUUUAUCAACUUUGGAAAACUUGAACCUUUUUACAUUUUGCCAUGUUGUUCAUGUUUUAUAUCUCAAUGAGAUGGAUAUUUUAUUUAAAAAAUUAUUUGUAAAAAUUUGUAUCAAUGU